rnacentral:rRNA from 1 species
CGGAGCCACGGCGGUGGGUUGAGUGGCUGCUGGAAUACGUAGCGGCGGCCGGAGGCGAGGGAGGGGAGGGUGUGCGGGCUGCGGGGUGAGAGAAGUGGAGGGGAAGAGGGGGAUGGGGGUCAUCGUGGGUCCGGGUUGUCGUGUACGCCGCCGGCCUAGGAUCUAGGUUGUGCGGCCGGACACGGAGUGGCCUCCUCGUGUGCGUCUCACUCCACCCGACGGGCGCACGUGUGCGGUACCUGGAGGCAGUGCCCUGCGAUUGCGCAGAGCAGACGGGCCGGCGCAGUGGUCUGCCAACGGACGGACGAGGGACGGCUGCGGUAGGGCAAGAGCCCUGCGGCGCGGAUGGUGCGGGGCUGCAGGGAAGAGGGAGAGGGGACGCGGCCGGGGCAGCAGGCAGGGGCUCUACCUCUCCCACGAUUUCCUACUACGGUAGGUCCUCUUCCCACUUGCGCGGUCCCACCAUUGAUCGGGGGAGGGUAGACUAGACGAACAAAAGGAAGAACCAGACUGACCCAGCCAAGCAAGCAGGCAACCAACCUACCGCGACGACGUUGACACACGUUAAUCAUAUAUUCACUAGAGUGAAUCUGACGUUUUAGGUAUCUAACAAUCAAGCUGUUCAUGGUCUGGUUGUUGGGCUGACAGCAGAAGCGAAUCAAUGUAUUCACUUAUGUAAAGACGAACAUUCUCCCACAAACCAACCUGCCAUUUGAACGACACGUUGACCUGGAACAAUGUACUUCACUUUGUUUAACGGUGUAGUGAUCACUCGAUUAAAUGUAUUCUUGUGCUCGUCCUGAUCUAGAUUCUUAGUGUCUCUAAUUCAGUCAUAUAUAGUGAACCCAUGUUCAGCGAUCUCCAACGAUGACUGUGUGUGAAUUGGGUAGGAAAAUUAAUAAUAAUAGUAAUACACAACUAAUAUACUCCACAAUCGAGAAGGACCUGGAGAGUAGUAAAGUGGACAUCGAUUACUUCGAAUCACCCUUCGUAGUUAUUUAUUAACAACCGUAUAAACUAUUAAAAUCUAUCAACGACUCCGUCUGUACGACCAGGAGUCCAGUUUUAUAUAGAAACGGACUAGAAACAUAUCCACCAUACUGAUAUUGAUUUGGUAUACAAGACAAAAUAGUAUAUAUUGACUUAGUACUCAAACAAAGUAUAAAAUUUGGAUGUACUUUCCUUCACAAGAACAACUGCUACCAAUAACAACGACUUAGGUAUAGGACCAAGUCGGAAUAUAAAAUGAUAAGAAUCCACCGCCCGAAUAUGCCGUAGCGCUCGUCCUCCCGGUACUCCCCAAACGACGAGACGAGGAUCCCGCUGGUUCUCCAGGACGGGGCUCGAGUUCGUGCAAGUGCGGCUGGGUGGUGCUGUCUACUGGUUCGGGUUCCUCCUUCGUCGACGAGUAGUGACUCCUGUUCAUUGAGGUCGUCCACUUCAUACUUCACACUUCGGCACUUCGGAUAGUCGUUCUCAUCGUAUAAUACAUAACAUUAUAGUCCGUCUCACAUUAUAAUCAGUCUCAUCGUAUAAUACAUAACAUUUAAAUCACAACAAAACCUACUUAAAGUAAACGAGAUAUUAGAUAAACUUUGUAACUAACACAUAUAUUAAAGUUAUGGAUACUUUACCUCUGGACUGGUCCCCCUGGGUG